GCUCAGAUUGAACGCUGGCGGCAUGCCUUACACAUGCAAGUCGAACGGUAACGCGGGGCAACCUGGCGACGAGUGGCGAACGGGUGAGUAAUGUAUCGGAACGUGCCCAGUUGUGGGGGAUAACUGCUCGAAAGAGCAGCUAAUACCGCAUACGACCUGAGGGUGAAAGCGGGGGAUCGCAAGACCUCGCGCAAUUGGAGCGGCCGAUAUCAGAUUAGGUAGUUGGUGGGGUAAAGGCCUACCAAGCCUACGAUCUGUAGCUGGUCUGAGAGGACGACCAGCCACACUGGGACUGAGACACGGCCCAGACUCCUACGGGAGGCAGCAGUGGGGAAUUUUGGACAAUGGGCGCAAGCCUGAUCCAGCCAUGCCGCGUGCGGGAAGAAGGCCUUCGGGUUGUAAACCGCUUUUGUCAGGGAAGAAAAGGUUCUGGCUAAUACCUGGGACUGAUGACGGUACCUGAAGAAUAAGCACCGGCUAACUACGUGCCAGCAGCCGCGGUAAUACGUAGGGUGCGAGCGUUAAUCGGAAUUACUGGGCGUAAAGCGUGCGCAGGCGGUUAUGCAAGACAGAGGUGAAAUCCCCGGGCUCAACCUGGGAACUGCCUUUGUGACUGCAUGGCUAGAGUGCGGCAGAGGGGGAUGGAAUUCCGCGUGUAGCAGUGAAAUGCGUAGAUAUGCGGAGGAACACCGAUGGCGAAGGCAAUCCCCUGGGCCUGCACUGACGCUCAUGCACGAAA
rnacentral:rRNA from 1 species